rnacentral:misc_RNA from 1 species
GGUUGUACAGCUGCUUGCUGU